CUACAAUGUUCUUUUUAAGAUCUAAAUAAGGUUGUGCUCAGAUCUCCAUAUUCUUUUGUCAAGGAAAUGCUCCUGCUGUUGGGAAUACUAGUACUGAAAUGGUUAUUACCACUUUGCUAAAGGCGGCUAUUACUCUACUUAUCUAAAGACAAGGAAAGACAAGACCCUGCAAAAAUGAGAUUUUAAUCACUAUGUUUUAUUUGAUACCGAUUUUAAUCAUUCCCCCCCCCCCCGAGCCUCAUUUUUAUUAAAUUACAAAAUAUGAAAAGGGCUGUAAGUCCUGCUAGGGGGUUCUGUUUUAAAUUGUUAACUUGAGUUUAUUGCUCCAUUUUUUUUUACCCCAAGUUCUUACAGAUGUGCAAUUUUUACAGAACUGUAUGUGCUGAAGAUGCAAGCCCUCAAAAUCUGUCAAGUAUCAGUUUGCGGUCCUGAGACUGAUGGCUGGGAGAUAGGAAUUUUUAAGUUAAAAUCAAGUAUAGCUACACUUCUACCAUGAUGUCUCAACUAAUAAUGGCAAGUUUUCUGCACCGUCUUCAUUGCAUAUCUGCACAGUGGCCAACCAGCAUCCAGAUGGGGAGCACAGACACUGCUAUGAGAUAAUCCUACCAGAGAUGUUAUCUUCAUCAAGGGGUGAGUAAGGUUAUGACA
rnacentral:lncRNA from 1 species